rnacentral:tRNA from 1 species
UAGAUUGAAGCCAGUAAUAGGGUGUUUAGCUGUUAACUAAAGUUUUGUAGGUUUGAAUCCUACCAGUCUAG